rnacentral:lncRNA from 1 species
CUGAAGUCUCCAUGGGCACUGGGUAACAAGAGAACUCACUGCACCUGAAACCUUGGUGAUAAGAAAAGGCAAAUGCUGUAGGCACAGCUCUUCUCCUCUAUUCUCCAAACUCUUUCUUUCCUAUAGCUCUCUGUUGUCCUCACUUGCAGGCUGACGGCCUGAUCCUAUUCUCUGUCAUUUGUGUUUCUGUUGCUCGCCUUGUUGCAAGGCUGCAAAUAUCUCUUUUGCUACUUCUUGCUGUUCACUGGGGGUAUUGGGCCUCUUCCAGCUGUUUUUCUUUUCUUUUUUUUUUUUUUUUUUUAAUUGGAACAAGUUUGCCUGAGGCUAAAAAAAAAGGAAAGGGAGGAAGAGGGAGCAAGUGGGGAGAAAGGUGUAGCUUGUAAGGACAUAGUACAUCUGGGAGGGAAAAAGUUUCCCUGCAAACCAGGGCAGAGCAAAUGAGGAGGGAAAAUGGAAAGGAGCUAAAGACAGAGUAGAAAGUGGUUUUCUGGAUACUUACUUGGAGUUCAUCAGAAGCUGCCCCGUUUGAACAGAAGGUUAAACAGCGGAUGGAGCACGCCUGUCCCCAGCAUGCCCUCUGCAAUGGUGGAAAGAAGGCUGAAACAGUGCACAUCACCGCCACUAUUAAACUAAGAGCAUCUUACUUUAUCUGCUUCUUGUCAUCAGGUUUCAAUAAUUCUCCAAAGAGAAGUAUCUCAUUUGCAUCCCACUGGACGAAAGAGCACAUGAUUUCUUGCAAUACAAGUGGUAAUUCCUUUUAACAGCAUAUAUACUGACAAUGAAAAGAGACCACUGUAUAGUACACUUUAUUUACAGUUUUAAAUUUUGGGAUCGUUUUUCAUCUGGUGUCAGUUCCAUUCACUUCAAAGUCAUUCCAAUAAUUCUCAUGGUAUUAUCAUUUAACUUCAUAUGUUGCAUCCUCCUUUGUGUUUAUACAACUGACAGAACUGUACAAUUUGAGCCUCAUAGUAUGAGGUAGAAUUUAAUAACCAAAUAAUCAAAAUUAUGGACUUUCCCGUCUUCCGACUACCUUCAAUAAAGUCAGAAAAUAUUCCCA